CAGCAGCCACGGGAAUACGUAGGGUGCAAGCGUUAAUCGGAAUUACUGGGCGUAAAGCGUGCGCAGGCGGUUAUAUAAGACAGAUGUGAAAUCCCCGGGCUCAACCUGGGAACUGCAUUUGUGACUGUAUAGCUAGAGUACGGCAGAGGGGGAUGGAAUUCCGCGUGUAGCAGUGAAAUGCGUAGAUAUGCGGAGGAACACCGAUGGCGAAGGCAAUCCCCUGGGCCUGUACUGACGCUCAUGCACGAAAGCGUGGGGAGCAAACAGGAUUAGAUACCCCAGUAGUCCCUGUCUCUUAUAA
rnacentral:rRNA from 1 species